GGGGAAUAUUGCACAAUGGGCGCAAGCCUGAUGCAGCCAUGCCGCGUGUAUGAAGAAGGCCUUCGGGUUGUAAAGUACUUUCAGCGAGGAGGAAGGCAUUAAGGUUAAUAACCUUAGUGAUUGACGUUACUCGCAGAAGAAGCACCGGCUAACUCCGUGCCAGCAGCCGCGGUAAUACGGAGGGUGCAAGCGUUAAUCGGAAUUACUGGGCGUAAAGCGCACGCAGGCGGUUUGUUAAGUCAGAUGUGAAAUCCCCGAGCUUAACUUGGGAACUGCAUUUGAAACUGGCAAGCUAGAGUCUUGUAGAGGGGGGUAGAAUUCCAGGUGUAGCGGUGAAAUGCGUAGAGAUCUGGAGGAAUACCGGUGGCGAAGGCGGCCCCCUGGACAAAGACUGACGCUCAGGUGCGAAAGCGUGGGGAGCAAAC
rnacentral:rRNA from 1 species